rnacentral:rRNA from 1 species
CAAUAGCGUAUAUUAAAGCUGUUGCGGUUAAAAAGCUCGUAGUUGGAUUUCUGUCAAGGACAACUGGUCCGCCCUCCGGGUGAGCACAUAGUUUGGUCUUGACAUCUUGCUGGAAGCUGUUGCUGCACUUGGCUGUGUGGCGCAGUGUUCAGCACUUUCACUUUGAGGAAAUUGGAGUGUUUCAAGCAGGCACAUGCCUUUGGACACAGUAGCAUGGAAUAAUUAGAUUGGGCUUUUGCUCCAAUUUGUCGGUUUCUGGAGCUGAGGUGAGUAUUAAUGGGGAUUGUUGGGGGCAUCCGAUUUUAGCCAGGAUGUUUUCAUUGA